rnacentral:lncRNA from 1 species
GCCAGAUGGACUCUGUGUCCCCAGUCCCUGAGUUAGCUGACCGCCAGGGCAGGGAGGCCAUGUUGCUCCACACUUUUUUGAAGAAGGCCUUACCUUGAUUCCAUAUGUUUCAGAAUUAGCUGUGUCAUCUACAAGAGAAGGCCAAAGGUACACAUUUUACAAAUGAAGGAAGAGGCAACCCCAUGGACUGAAAUGUUCUCUGAAGUAGAAUUGACCGCAAUCAGGCCUGGCAGGCCUGGAGCAGAUCCUGACUGCAGCAGGUGAAAAACAGAACAAGACAAUUACAAGACCACGACAUGGCCUCUCAACUAAGUGUGGUUCGAUUUCAAAGAAUCCUGCUUCUACAGUGGAUGGGCACAAUUCUCCUGAGUUGCCAAAUUUCAAGUUACUACAUGUUAAUGCAUUUCGCACAUAUAUUGAUCACAUACCUUGACUACGGAGGUGAUGUUACAAUGGAUGAGGCUCUGUAAUAAAUAAUCACAACCACACAUCAGCCGGAUGAUUAGAGAAAUUCUCCUGGAAAGUAGUUGGUGCUAAAGAACCAUGAAGUGGGCAAAAGUGCAUGUCUGAACGGUUUCAUCACUCACCCUGCAAAUUAGGCUCAUAACUGCCUUCCAGCAAGCAUGUACUAGCAUCAAGAAACAUCUGACUCCCAUUCUGUCAUUCUGUACCCACGUCAUCUUGACUAGACAUCAAUUAAGAGUUUCCUGGAAAACUCGGAACUAUAUUCCUGGAGGAAUAUAAAUACGGUUUUUCAAAGGGAGCUACUCCAUUCUCAGCUGGAGGAAGAGGGGUUAGCCUAUGUGAGUCCAGGAGAACAGAAAGACAAAUGGUUGUAUAAUAUAAGGUAGAGGUUCUGGGCUAUGGAGGGCAGGUAAAGAAACCACUAGAAUGACCAAAGAUAAAGAGAAAGGACAAGAGGACGGACACAGACACUAGCACAAACACAGACACACACAGGCAGAGGAGCAACCCUGGAACUUGCUUCUUGAAGAGACGUAGAUUUGUGCCAGAAACAGAGUGUGGGAGACAGAGCCCACACAGGAGAUGUGUGGUCCAGAGAGGAGUUCAGUGCUGUCGUGGUAAGAGUGAGUCAUCUCCGGAUCUGGUGGUUUAGGAG